UUUCAGUUGGCCAAGAUUUCUAAAAAUCCUUUCUUUGUAUUGGUCUUAAGUAAUAUUCUAAUUUUCUGAGAUACUGAAUUUGGGAUUUUCCUUAUUUGUCAGUUAUAAUCAUCAAAAUUAAAAGAAAUAAAUAUUUGAAAUAUAUCAGUCUGUGUGUAAUGAAUGGAUAUAAUAUACAAGUUUCACUUUUUGAAUGGAAUUAGUGAAAUAAAUCAACUUUUUGAUGAUAUUCUAAUUAUAUGACCAGCACCUGUAUAUAACUACUGUGUAACCUGUCAUGUAAAUUGAAUGGAAAGCUUGUAGAGCUCACACAUUUUGCCUUGGAUGAUCAUUCAUUUCAUCUUCGGUGGUGUUUUAGCCGUUUGCUCCGAUGCCUGAAGAAACUACAUCCGUCAACAUCAUUAACAUAUGCAGCUGCGUAUCGCUGUCGAAGCCUGAUUUUGGGCAGAGCUCAGACUCGCCGACUACGACAGCGCAGAAUCCAAACUUCUGGCAGCAGAUGUUACAAUGUGUUUGGCAGUUCCUGCGGGAGCGCAUUAUACACAGAUUCAUUUGAGGAACAACGACUUCGCUACCAGACUUCGACCGACAAUGCUACAGCUCCGAUAUUGAAGAAACACCGAGCCAACGACACUCUGCGGACUCGAGACACUUCGGACAUGCUGAUGGCGCAUAUUUCAACCGCUUACCGAUCGACUAUUCUCCAAACACUGAGAUGCCUUUCCCAGUUCUCCAGAUGGACUUUUUCUGAGGAUCACCCAACACACAUUUUUCGGAACAAAGCAAUUAUUUUAUGGCAAUGCUGUAAUGUAAUUGUAAUUUUAACCUCUGGACAUAUAGCUACUGAGUGAAACUUUUUUUGAAGGCAGAGGGAGAUAGCCACCACUCCAACCUUUCCGGCGGAAAGGAAAGCACCGACCCGGCUGCACAUCUUUGUGGGUCUUCUUAACGUGAUGAUUCUUUGUCCCAGUUCAGGCCAAUAACACCAAAACACCAGAAUUAUGAGAUAAUAUUACAAGAUGUCAUGAGACUAUUUUUUCAGGAGAGCGGGGUAAGUUGUCACACUUUUCAAACUGUCUUACAUUUAAUGAGCACCAUACAUCACAAUGAUAUAAAUGUCAUAGCAAAUGAAAGAAGGAAGUCUUGGGCACAUAUGUUGUAUUCAUUACAUUUUCAUAUCUUAUAUCAUUACGGAGUUGUAGGCUGUUAGCCUGACUUCGUCAUACUCAUAUUCUAGGCAGAAUGUGAGUCUGAUACUGCUCCAUUGCACUUGAAUUAUGGGGCGUGUCUUAACCGAACCAGUAAAAAAAAAACCUCUGCACUCAGUUGGAUAGACCUACAACCAAUCAGAGCAACGCAGUAAGUGAGAAUGUUUGAACUUUUUGUUAUUUCACUGAGACUCUCGUUAUGAUUGCACAAAACUGACUUUACAGACGUAACUUACAUCGGGACUAAGUUAGGUACAAUAUAUUUUUUACAACAUUUGCUUCAUGUCACUAUGUUAUGAGUUAUUUUCUAGGUCAGACAGUCAGAUUAAAUCUUACCAUUUGUAAAUGAGAUGAACUUCAUCCACGACGAUACCCAUUACGUUGUCUUGAAAAACAUCGGAGCCUAGCAUGUCCCUCCACUUCUUGUUCAGCAGCCAGGAUUCGGAGCAGACAACGACCGCUGGUUAUGUCCACCUCGCUGUGCACGCCGAGUUGCAUCGCCGUGAUGCCCAUUUCGGUAGCUUCUUUUACUUGGUCCUCCAUGAGUGCGACCAAAGGAGAAACCACAGUGACCACAGGGUUUUCAUUGCGUCCUAUCUUCUUAGCGACCAUCGUAUGGAAUGAUUUUUGUGUCUUUAUUAUUCAAUCAAACAUUCUGUGUUUGAAAGUAAAACUAAUUAUUUUGUAAUUAAAAAAUAAAAGAUUGCAAAAAAAGUCCUGCAUGGCAGGUCUACUUCUGACACUGGAAAUGUUCCUGUGCAUAUUGGGCACUGGUCUUCAAGUGCCUACACAUUAAAGAUAAAAAUGUAUGCAGGACAAAUUUUGUAAAAUAGGAAUUGAUAAUUGGCAAUGUUCAAUUUAGCUUUUGCUUGUGUACCUCCUAAAGGGUGAUUUUGACACUGGAUGAUGUUGCAUCAGGUCUAAGGUUUUGCCUUGAAGAUGUUGCCUCCUUCAUCAACACCAAAUCUUCCUGCAAACAGAAAAGAAUAAUGUGAUGUUCUACUGAUAGAAUUCUAGGCUGUUUGGAGUAGUCACAAAUAUAAACACCCCUUAGAAGUCAGGGGCAUAUUGAAAUGUGGAAGUUAGUUCAUUAAAAGGUCUUCAAAGCAAAGUCUUUGCAAGGCUACAGUGGUACUGGCUGACAAGUCCUGAAUAUCAGUCCUUGCUAUUGAAGUAAUAAGUUUGCCAAUUGUCAUUGCACAGGUCUUAAAGAUA
rnacentral:lncRNA from 12 species